UGGGGAAUAUUAGAAAUGGACGAAAGUCUGAUCUAGCAACACCGCGUGUGCGAAGAAGGCCUUCGGGUCGUAAAGCACUUUUUGGAAGGAAUAGGAAGGAAUGUACUUCCAGAAUAAGUCUCGGCUAACUACGUGCCAGCAGCCGCGGUAACACGUAGGAGGCAAACGUUAUCCGGAUUUACUGGGCGUAAAGCGCGUGUAGGUGGUACUGUAAGUAGGGCGUGAAAGCUCCUGGCUCAACUGGGAGAGGCCGUUCUAAACUACAGAACUAGAGGAUGGUAGAGGGAGGUGGAAUUCCAGGUGUAGCGGUGGAAUGCGCAGGUAUCCGGAGGAACACCAGUGGCGAAAGCGGCCUCCUGGACCAUUCCUGACACUCAGACGCGAAAGCUAGGGUAGCAAACA
rnacentral:rRNA from 1 species